CACACACACACACACACACACACACACACACACACACACACACAGUCUAUGACGGGUUAUUCCCACAGUUUUAAUAUCUCCACGUUGCUUAAUAAUUUCUUCGAGGUUUUCAUCAUUGAGCUCCAGAUCCUGGAGUGAAAUCGCAUCGGGAGGGAUUAAAGGCGCUAUUAAAGCCAACCAGCCAUGUUUACCAGGGGAUAAAGUCAAACUUCAAUCAGAGUUCGGGUGGCUUGACGCAGUUUCAUUUUGAUAUUGGUCUAUAUCACUCCUGAGUGAUCAACACCAGCUAGUACACACGCUCACAUCUGUCUGGUGCAGCAGCUGCAGGGAGUCCCUGAAUGGACCGGUGGAAAGGAUUCAUCUUGGCUGUAUACUCAAAGUAUCGUAAGUUAUAUGCAGGAGUUGACGGAGAUCCAGAGAACUGUUUUGAUUCUUGUUUAACACUGAUGUGUGCCAGCAAAACUUACAGCCUCUGUUGUUGAACUAGACACGUACAUUUGAACGUAUGGACAGGUUAGCCUCAUAAAGAACCGCCCGCUCGCUGUGUCCUAGAGGCCCUGCUAAACACAUCACUGCAUGUCUUCAGUCCAGGCAGGAAGACCCCCAGGGACCUAAGGACCCCCACACAUAGACUGCUUCGGUUGCCCACUGUCCCAUUCGUACCUUUGGUAUUUGAGCAUGGCUCCGUGUGCAUAAUGGAAGGCGGAACGCUGGAUUCCAGGAGAGAUUACUGCACUGCGUCUCACCGGCCUGCUGGCUGGAGCUCUCUCUAUUGUUUGGCGUCACACGCUCCCGCUGACGAGGAGACGCCGAUCAACCCCUACGAACAACAACAUCACCGAUUUAUUCUGGGCGACGUGCAGGACUCUCCACGCCGGUCCCCUGAUUAGCCCUGUAAUCAGCAAAAGAACAAACCGCCAUCCUCCCUGCUCCAGAGUUCCUUCGCUGUCGCCCUUCCUCUCGUCUCCUUUCACCUCCUCUUAAUCAUUGGCGCCAAGUGAUUACAUCACCUGAUUGCAGCCCUAUUCUUGAUUACGACGUGACAGCUGGCUUGACACAAACACAUGUCGGGAAGUGUUAGCGGAAAGAAACUUGUCUUGUCUUUUGUUGGUUUCACCUGCUUUGCCUCCCCGGAAAGUAAUCCCUUUGAGUAACUUGAACAGUGUUGACAUCAUGAUGGCUAUGUCAGUAUUGAAUUAAUUAAUUUCCCUUAGAUCCGUCAUGAUUUUCAAACAUGGAAGAAUAUUUUAUUUUGUGCAAAAAACAUUCCAUUCAACAGCCAACCAACUUGCUUUGUGAUUUGUGAUUGUUUUGUUGUGUCAUUCUACAUCAUAACGUGGGAGAGGUGGGAUAAAUGGAAUGUGAAUACUUAAAUGCUCUUCAAAGCUAAGUGACAUCUUGACAACUCUGUAGAUGAAUGUUUGCUGUAGGAUAACCUUUUAACUCUAUCACAUUAUUGAAAAACGGUUGUUCAUGUCCUAAGUUAACCAUAAAAAUCAGCUCUCUGAGGUUAAGAGACAUAAGGGGUCUCUGAGGUUAAGGGACAUAAGGGUCUCAGAGGUUAAGGGACAUAACAGAUUGUAAUGGGAAAAUUAUAUUUUUUCUGUAACUGCCAUUUGUUGAUUAUGACUUUUCGCUGAGACCCUUGGGGUCACCCCAAGGGUCAAAGGGUCCAACACCCAUAUGAGACCCCACAUUAUAAUUCUCAAUGAUCAAAUCAAAUGAUCUUAACUUAAAGGAAAGAGUUUCCUGUAUUCUCAUCAAGCAGAAGAAUGCAUAAGCGGAUCUCCCUCGUGACCGGUAUACCCCAGGCACAAAGGUGAACGUUAGAUAACGCUAGGAACAAGUAGAGUGGCUAGACAGUGCAAGGAAUAGGAGACAGAGCUUACAUGAUGAAGGGGAAACAACAUGAUGGAUUGAUCUCACCAUUUUUGAGACCUGUGCCACUGCAUAAGAAGUCCUUGCUUUUGUCAAUGCAUUGGACUUCAGCUUGCCCAGCUCUUGGAGCAACGUGGGUGGAUUUCCCAUUCAGGGGUCUUCAGCUAGCAGACUUCUUGGAGGGACGCAGGGGGAUUUCCCAUCUGGGGACUUCUCCUUGCGGAGCUCUUGGAGGGAUGAAGGGGAACCCCCAUCUAUUGUAUGUUAUAUGUUUUAUUGUUUGUUGUACCUUAUUGUACCGUUAUUGCC
ensembl:lncRNA